rnacentral:rRNA from 1 species
GACAGAGGUGCCGAGCGUUAGGCGGAAUCACUGGGCUUAAAGCGUGUGUAGGCGGACCGUUAAGUACCUUGUGAAAUCCCCCGGCCACCACGGGGAACGGCUGGGUAUACUGGCGGUCUUGAGCCAUCCAGGGGCAGUCGGAACAGACGGUGGAGCGGUGAAAUGCGUAGAUAUCGUCUGGAACGCCGAAGGUGAAAACAGACUGCUGGGGAUGCGCUGACGCUGAGACACGAAAGCCAGGGGAGCGAACGGG